GCCAAUAUAAAGAGAGAUCCAACAAGAGAUGAAGUAUAGGAAAUAAAACCAAAUCAAAGAGGAAAUCCAAAAAGGAAAAGAUUAUAAAAUAACUUCAUUGAGUGCAGCGUUGAUGAAAAUUUUAGCUCUUGGGGUUCUUUCCCAGUGACUUGGGGUGAUUUCACCAGCGCUUCAUUCAAUUAUGUCAUUUGGAUAAUUCUUGGAUCAACAUGUACAGCUGAAGAACCAUCAUAUUCCAUGCAGACCCACCUAACAGUUGCGCGGGUCCAAAAACCGGCUUGGGAGAGGGAAAUAAAUAAAACCAGGAAAUAAUGUGGAUGUUAAUUCUGUGCAACGACAACUUCACGAUCCUCUAAUGAUGUUAUUUUCAUUUCGCUAAUGCCUCACAAGGCCAUGAAUCCUUUUAUUGUAAAGAAGGGAGACUCUGCAUGACAGGUCUGUCCAGAGCAAUAAUCUUUUAGGUGUGUCUAGAACAUUGUAAUCUGAAUCAAGCUUUCCUGCCAAUCCUACAUAAAAGAAGGGAAAUUAUUGGAAUAUAUGGCGUGUGCAAGUGAGAAGCCCAAGUCAGAAAGCCCAAGUCAAUGAUUGACAGGAUCUAAAGACCAAGUCAGUAACAAGAUUUGUAUAAGCUUAACCUAGCUAGUCAACAUAAUUAGUUUUUCAAUCCUCUAGGAUUUAUGAUUAUCCUAAAUAGGAAUCAUAAAGUACAAGUGUACAAUUAUCUCAGUGUGUAUAUUAAUCAUUUUCAUCGCCCACGUGGAAUGAGUUAAGAGCUUCUCCAUCGGUGGUUAUGUGUGUUUUCUAUGUGGCAAAACAAAUAAAAUAUCCUCAUUCCAAUUUU